UACGAAGGGUGCAAGCGUUAAUCGGAAUUACUGGGCGUAAAGGGAGCGUAGGCGGCUUUUUAAGUCGGAUGUGAAAUCCCCGGGCUUAACCUGGGAAUGGCAUCCGAUACUGGGGAGCUAGAGUUUGGGAGAGGGUGAUGGAAUUCCCGGUGUAGCGGUGAAAUGCGUAGAGAUCGGGAGGAACAUCAGUGGCGAAGGCGGUCACCUGGCCUAAAACUGACGCUGAAGCUCGAAAGCGUGGGGAGCAAACAGG
rnacentral:rRNA from 3 species